rnacentral:rRNA from 1 species
CCUACGGGAGGCUGCAGUCGAGAAUCAUUCACAAUGGGGGAAACCCUGAUGGUGCGACGCCGCGUGGGGGAAUGAAGGUCUUCGGAUUGUAAACCCCUGUCAUGUGGGAGCAAAUUAAAAAGAUAGUACCACAAGAGGAAGCGAAGGCUAACUCUGUGCCAGCAGCAGCGGUAAUACAGAGGUCUCAAGCGUUGUUCGGAAUCACUGGGCGUAAAGCGUGCGUAGGCUGUUUCGUAAGUCGUGUGUGAAAGGCGCGGGCUCAACCCGCGGACGGCACAUGAUACUGCGAGACUAGAGUAAGGGAGGGGGAAGCGGAAUUCUCGGGGUAGCAGUGAAAUGCGUAGAUAUCGAGAGGAACACUCGUGGCGAAGGCGGGUUCCUGGACAUUAACUGACGCUGAGGCACGAAGGCCAGGGGAGCGAAAGGGAUUAGAUACCCUUGUAGUC